GAUGAACGCUGGCGGCGUGCCUAAUACAUGCAAGUCGAGCGAACGGACGAGAAGCUUGCUUCUCUGAUGUUAGCGGCGGACGGGUGAGUAACACGUGGAUAACCUACCUAUAAGACUGGGAUAACUUCGGGAAACCGUAGCUAAUACCGGAUAAUAUUUUGAACCGCAUGGUUCAAAAGUGAAAGACGGUCUUGCUGUCACUUAUAGAUGGAUCCGCGCUGCAUUAGCUAGUUGGUAAGGUAACGGCUUACCAAGGCAACGAUGCAUAGCCGACCUGAGAGGGUGAUCGGCCACACGGGAACUUAGACACGGUCCUGACGCCUACGGUAGGCAGCAGUAGGGAAUCGUCCGCAAUGGGCGAAAGCCUGACGGAGCAACGCCGCGUGAGUUAUGAAGGUCUUCGGAUCGUAAAACUCUGUUAUUAGGGAAGAACAUAUGUGUAAGUAACUGUGCACAGCUUGACGGUACCUAAUCAGAAAGCCACGGCUAACUACGUG
rnacentral:rRNA from 1 species